rnacentral:rRNA from 1 species
UACGUAGGGGGCAAGCGUUGUCCGGAUUUAUUGGGCGUAAAGAGCGUGUAGGCGGCCAGGUAGGUCAGCUGUGAAAACUCGAGGCUCAACCUCGAGACGUCGGUUGAAACCACCUGGCUAGAGUCCGGAAGAGGAGAGCGGAAUUCCUGGUGUAGCGGUGAAAUGCGCAGAUAUCAGGAAGAACACCCGUGGCGAAGGCGGCUCUCUGGGACGGUACUGACGCUGAGACGCGAAAGCGUGGGGAGCGAACAGG